GCGUGAGUGACGAAGGCCUUAGGGUUGUAAAGCUCUUUUACCCGGGAAGAUAAUGACUGUACCGGGAGAAUAAGCCCCGGCUAACUCCGUGCCAGCAGCCGCGGUAAUACGGAGGGGGCUAGCGUUGUUCGGAAUUACUGGGCGUAAAGCGCACGUAGGCGGUUUUGCAAGUCAGAGGUGAAAGCCCGGGGCUCAACUCCGGAAUUGCCUUUGAGACUGCAUCACUUGAACGUCGGAGAGGUGAGUGGAAUUCCGAGUGUAGAGGUGAAAUUCGU
rnacentral:rRNA from 1 species